rnacentral:rRNA from 1 species
GAUGACGCUGGCGGCGUGCCUAAUACAUGCAAGUCGAGCGAACAGAUGAGGAGCUUGCUCCUCUGACGUUAGCGGCGGACGGGUGAGUAACCCGUGGAUAACCUACCUAUAAGACUGGGAUAACUUCGGGAAACCGGAGCUAAUACCGGAUAAUAUAUUGAACCGCAUGGUUCAAUAGUGAAAGACGGUUUUGCUGUCACUUAUAGAUGGAUCCGCGCCGCAUUAGCUAGUUGGUAAGGUAACGGCUUACCAAGGCAACGAUGCGUAGCCGACCUGAGAGGGUGAUCGGCCACACUGGAACUGGGACACGGUCCAGACUCCUACGGGAGGCAGCAGUAGGGAAUCUUCCGCAAUGGGCGAAAGCCUGACGGGGCAACGCCGCGUGAGUGAUGAAGGUCUUCGGAUCGUAAAACUCUGUUAUUAGGGAAGAACAAAUGUGUAAGUAACUAUGCACGUCUUGACGGUACCUAAUCAGAAAGCCACGGCUAACUACGUG